AGAGGAUGAACGACAUUUUAAAAGUUAGUAACGAGAGAAUUCUUUACAAAAGUCGCCGAGCGUGUUCUGUGCAUUGCUCCGGUAUGCCGAGGGCUAACAAAAGAGUUUUAGUAUAUUUUGUCACCAAGGUAUAGAAUAGCUUUUUCAUAGUCGACAAUGAGUGCUAUAAAUCAUUAUUAUGAAUAUAUAUGUAUAGUCGAGUAAUAUAAGACUUUAUUGUUUAAAGUGAGCAAGAAUGGAAGCAGAUGUUGUCAUUGUUUUAAAACUGCUGCGCCACCGUGGUUCUCUUAUGAUGUAGUUACACGCAAUACAAUAUAUUUGUCGACACUCCAAGAGUAUACGUAUACGUAUUACCUACUCGUAAAGUCGACAAAUUAAAACGAUACACUUACUCCGAAGGGGAGACGACGAUUAAACAAUAUGUUCACGUGUGCGGAAAUUUCGCUAAUUUGCUACAAUGCUAAUCAACUAUAUAUGGCGUGGCAAUCGACAUUCGACAGAGUAACUUAUAGGUAUAUAAUCGAGGAUUCAGGUUUCGCAGUCGUGAUUGAAUAAGGCAUUGCUAACGAUAGAUGAUGUUUCCCAUUGGUAGAAUGAGUUCAAUUUAAACCAAAAGUGAUCGGUUUUGUUCGCAGAUUGCAGAAAAUGGUCCGAAGACUGACCAACAUCAGCGGAUGACCGAUGGUUCCAAUUCAUCGUUAAAUUUUAAUUAUUUCAGAGACUCAGAGUUAGGCUUCGUUGUUGUUAUCGAAUAAGAAAUUGAUAAUGAUGGUGGAUAUUUUCCAUUUCCAGAGACAAAAUAGUUUCAAUUCGAGCCAAAAGUGACCGGUUUUGUUCGCAGAAUGCAGUCAGUGGUCCGAAAGUGAACCAGAUUCAGCGGAUGGCCGAUGGUUCCAAAUUCGUUAAAUUUUAAUUAGGCUUUGCUGUUGCUAUCGAAUAAGAAAUUGAUAACGAUGGUCCAUUUCCAAAGACAAAUAGUUUCAGUUCGAGCUAAAAGUGACCGGUUUUGUUCGCAGAAUGCAGACAGUGGUCCGAAAGUGACCUAGCUUCAGCGGUAUAGUCGGUCUUGCUGUUGUUAUCGAAUACGUAAGGAAUUGCUAAAUGUUGGAUAUUCUCCAGAUACAAAAAUGGUUUCAAUUAAAGCCGAAGUGAUCGGUUUCGUUCGCAGAUUAAUUGCAGAUGGCAAUCCGAAGGUGAUCGCAAUUCGCAAACCAACCUAAGCGGACUGGUACUUAUUCGUACGUUCAUUUUCUUCGAAGUAUGCUUUUGGUUUUCGAAAAAAAAUGGUGAAUUUCUACAGAUAAUGUGAAGUGCAGAUAAGAAGAACCUGAACAGCGUUUGUCAUAAUUGACAUUGCCUUUAAUCACAUUAUUAUCUCUUUUUUUGACAACUUUAAAAAUACCUACCUACAGGUCCAUUCUCUAUUCUCUUUCUUUUGUGGUUUUGAGAAUAAUCCGGAAGUUGAGUGAGCGACGUUGCUAAGAUAAUCGAGAUUUUAAUACCCAACUUUAGCUUUUUCCUGGAUCAGUUCUUGUAGUUUUUCUUUUUGUAAAAUAAUUAUCAUGUUUUGUUAUCUCAAAGUUAAAAAUAGUUCAAGGGAUUAACUUAUGUAGAAAUUGUAAUGUAUGAUAAGUACUGUAAAAUAUAUGACUAUCUAUAUGUUCCAAGAAUCGAGUGUAAUUUUUCAUUUUUUGUUGGUAAAUUUGUAUACCUACCUAAUACUUACAUGUGCAGUAACGAGUUUUUUUUUCACGUGAUACUCACUUUUGACUUUACAAGAAUAAAAUGUAAU